rnacentral:rRNA from 1 species
AGUCAACAUGCCCAGAGGACGUGGAUAACCUCGGGAAACUGAGGAUAAACCGCGAUAGGUCAUAAUAUCUGGAAUGAUUUAUGGUUUAAAUCUAUAUGGCCUCUGGAUUGGACUGCGGCCGAUCAGGCUGUUGGUGAGGUAAUGGCCCACCAAACCUAAAACCGGUACGGGCUCUGAGAGGAGAAGCCCGGAGAUGGGCACUGAGACAAGGGCCCAGGCCCUAUGGGGCGCAGCAGGCGCGAAAACUCUGCAAUAAGCGAAAGCUUGACAGGGUUAUUCUGAGUGAUUUCCGCUAAGGAAAUCUUUUGGCACCUCUAAAAAUGGUGCAGAAUAAGGGGUGGGCAAGCCUGGUGUCAGCCGCCGCGGUAAUACCAGCACCCCGAGUGGUCGGGACGAUUAUUGGGCCUAAAGCAUCCGUAGCCGGUUCUACAAGUCUUCCGUUAAAUCCACCUGCUUAACAGAUGGGCUGCGGAGGAUACUAUGGAGCUAGGAGGCGGGAGAGGCAAGCGGUACUUAGUGGGUAGGGGUAAAAUCCGUUGAUCCAUUGAAGACCACCAGUGGCGAAGGCGGCUUGCCAGAACGCACUCGACGGUGAGGGAUGAAAGCUGGGGGAGCAAACCGGAUUAGAUACCCGGGUAGUCCCAGCUGUAAACGAUGCAGACCCGGUGAUGAAUAGGCUUCGUGCCUAUUC